CUACUACUCCCUCCGAUCCAUUUUACUUGUCUUAGAUUUGUCUAGAUACAAAUGUAUGUAGGCAUGUUUUAGUGUUAGAUACAUCCGUAUCUAGACAAUUCUAAAACAAGUAAUAUGGAUCGGAGGGAGUACAUC
rfam:Hordeum vulgare subsp. vulgare, WGS project CAJW01000000 data, contig: morex_contig_39649